rnacentral:rRNA from 1 species
AGGGAAUCUUCGGCAAUGGACGAAAGUCUGACCGAGCAACGCCGCGUGAGUGAUGACGGUCUUCGGAUUGUAAAGCUCUGUCUUUUGGGACGAUAAUGACGGUACCAAAGGAGGAAGCCACGGCUAACUACGUGCCAGCAGCCGCGGUAAUACGUAGGUGGCAAGCGUUGUCCGGAUUUACUGGGCGUAAAGGAUGUGUAGGCGGAUACUUAAGUGAGAUGUGAAAGCCCCGGGCUCAACCUGGGGACUGCAUUUCAAACUGGGUAUCUAGAGUGCAGGAGAGGAAAGCGGAAUUCCUAGUGUAGCGGUGAAAUGCGUAGAGAUUAGGAAGAACAUCAGUGGCGAAGGCGGCUUUCUGGACUGUAACUGACGCUGAGGCAUGAAAGCGUGGGGAGCAAAC